UACGUAGGGUGCGAGCGUUAAUCGGAAUUACUGGGCGUAAAGGGUGCGCAGGCGGUUAUUUAAGACAGAUGUGAAAUCCCCGGGCUCAACCUGGGAACUGCGUUUGUGACUGUAUGACUAGAGUACGGUAGAGAGGGGUGGAAUUCCUGGUGUAGCAGUGAAAUGCGUAGAUAUCAGGAGGAACAUCGAUGGCGAAGGCAGCCCCUUGGACCUGUACUGACGCUCAUGCACGAAAGCGUGGGGAGCAAACAGG
rnacentral:rRNA from 1 species